rnacentral:rRNA from 1 species
GACGAACGCUGGCGGCGUGCCUAAUACAUGCAAGUAGAACGCUGAAGAGAGGAGCUUGCUCUUCUUGGAUGAGUUGCGAACGGGUGAGUAACGCGUAGGUAACCUGCCUUGUAGCGGGGGAUAACUAUUGGAAACGAUAGCUAAUACCGCAUAACAAUGGAUGACACAUGUCAUUUAUUUGAAAGGGGCAAUUGCUCCACUACAAGAUGGACCUGCGUUGUAUUAGCUAGUAGGUGAGGUAAUGGCUCACCUAGGCGACGAUACAUAGCCGACCUGGGAGGGUGAUCGGCCAAACUGGGACUGAGACACGGCCCAGACUCCUACGGGAGGCAGCAGUAGGGAAUCUUCGGCAAUGGGGGCAACCCUGACCGAACAACGCCGCGUGAGUGAAGAAGGUUUUCGGAUCGUAAAGCUCUGUUGUAAGUCAAGAACGGGUGUGAGAGUGGAAAGUUCACACUGUGACGGUAGCUUACCAGAAAGGGACGGCUAACUACGUG